rnacentral:rRNA from 1 species
UACGUAGGGUCCGAGCGUUGUCCGGAAUUAUUGGGCGUAAAGGGCUCGUAGGCGGUCUGUUGCGUCGGGAGUGAAAACUUACAGCUUAACUGUGAGCGUGCUUUCGAUACGGGCAGACUAGAGGUAUUCAGGGGAGAACGGAAUUCCUGGUGUAGCGGUGAAAUGCGCAGAUAUCAGGAGGAACACCGGUGGCGAAGGCGGUUCUCUGGGAAUGACCUGACGCUGAGGAGCGAAAGUGUGGGGAGCGAACAGG